rnacentral:ribozyme from 1 species
GGGUGACGGCGGCCUCAUCAUGAGGCCGUAAACCCACGGGCCGGUCCGAAGUCCGG